rnacentral:tRNA from 1 species
GCGGGUGUGGUGGAAUUGGCAGACACGAUAGACUUAGGAUCUAUUGCUUUUGCGUGCAGGUUCAAGUCCUGUCACCCGCACCA